UGCUAGGGGAGCGAUUGCUGAGAUUGUAAGGAAUUACAGACCCUCAUUACCUGAUCCGGCCAAUACCGGCGUAGGGAAGCGAGA
rnacentral:ncRNA from 1 species